GACGAACGCUGGCGGCGUGCCUAAUACAUGCAAGUCGAACGCAGUGGGGACGGGUGAGUAACACGUGGGUAACCUCCCAUCAGAGGGGAUAACACUUGGAAACAGGUGCUAAACCGAUACUGAUGGAUGGACCCGCGGUGCAUUGACUAGUUGGUGAGGUAACGGCUCACCAAGGCCACGAUGAAUAGACGACCUAAGAGGGGUAUCGGCGACACUGGGACUGAGACACGUCCCGAGCUCCGACGGAAGGCAGCAGUAGGGAAUCUUAGGCAAGGGACGAAACUCUGACCGAGAAACGCCGCGUGCGUGAAGAAGGUGUUCGGAUCGUAAAACUCUGUUGUUAGAGAAGCGGUAUCUAACCAGAAAGCCACGGCUAACUACGUGACAGCAUCCGCGGUAAUAC
rnacentral:rRNA from 1 species